AGUGACGGUACUACAAGCACGGGUCCUGCAAGGACUUCCACAACAACUCCCACUCCCACGACGACGACGACGACGACGUCGUCUUCGAUUGCACAACGUCAAUUUUUUAAAAUCAUGGCGGCACAGAAACGACGGCUGGCAGCAGCAGCAGCGAAUUCGGACAACUAUACGAACA
rnacentral:ribozyme from 1 species